GACGUAGGGGACGAGCGUUGUCCGGAUUUAUUGGGCGUAAAGCGCGUGUAGGCGGCCCGGUAAGUCCGCUGUGAAAGUCGGGGGCUCAACCCUCGGAUGCCGGUGGAGUACUGUCGGGCUCGAGUACGGAAGAGGCGAGUGGAAUUCCUGGUGGUAGCGGUGAAAUGCGCAGAGUAUCAGGAGGAACACCAAUUGCGAAGGCAGCUCGCUGGGACGUUACUGACGCUGAGACGCGAAGCGUGGGAGCA
rnacentral:rRNA from 1 species